rnacentral:rRNA from 1 species
UUUUAGAAAUAAUUAUGAAACGUUAAAUGUGGGAGAAUAGUGCAAGUGGUUAAAUUAGUUAUAAAUUCAGUGAAAGUUUACAGAAUGGAUAACCAUAGUAAUCCUAGAAUUAAUGCAUGCAAUUGUGUCUCGCCAGAAGGGAGAUACAUUUAUUAGAUGAAACCAAUAAAUUUGUGAAUCAUAAUAGUUUUGCUGAUCGUACUGUCUUGUGCUGGUGAUAAUUCAUUGGAAUUUCUGCAAAACCAAUGAUGGAUGGCAGAAUAGAGGCCUACCAUAGUUAUUACGAGUAACGGGGGAUUAGGGUUCGAUUCUGGAGAAAGCCAUGAGAAAUGGUAACUACAUUCAAGGAAGGCAGCAGGCGCGCAAAUUACCCAAUCCUAACACAGGGAGGUAGUGACAAAAAAUAACAUCACAGGGUCACUGGUCUUGUAAUUAGAAUGAGUACAAUUUAAAUAUCUUAAUGAGGAGCAGUAUGAGGGCAAACCUGAUGCCAACAGCCGCUUUAACUCCAGCAUCGAUAGUGUAUAUUAAAGUUGUUGCAGUUAAAACGCUCAUAGUCGACCUUUAAAUCUACCUGGCCCAGGUAAUUAAUUUAAUUUGACUCGCUAAAGGCACAACGUUUAUUUUAAAAAAAUUAUAGUGUUCAAAGCAAGUUUUUAUGAAUACAUUAGCAUGGAAUAAUGGAAUAAGUCAGCAGCUUAUUCCGCUGGUUUAUAGUUGCAAACAUGAUGAAUAGGGAUGGUUGGAGUCAUUGGUAUUCAAUAGUCAGAGAUGAAACUUGAAUUAUGCGAAAGCAUUUGGAAAAUCCAUUCCCAUUGAUCAAGGAUGAAAGUUAGGGAAUCUAAAAUGAUUAGAUAUUGUCGUAGCCUCAACUAUAAACUAUGCCGACCAGGGAUUGGAUUAGAUCAUACUAAUUUAGUAUCUUGAAUGAAAACAGAGUCUUUAGGUUCUGCGGGAAUAUAUUCGAAAGUAUGAAACUUAAAGGAAUUGACAGAAGCGCACCCAGGAGUGAAGCCUGCAGCUUAAUUCGACGCAACAUGGAAAAACUCACCAGACCAGGCAUAAGAAGGAUUGACAGUUUAAUAGUGCUUCUUGGAUUUUAUGGUUAAUGAUGCAUGGCUGUGUUAGUUAGUAGAGCGAUUUAUCUGGUUAAUUCCAAUAACUAAUGAGGCCUUAACAUUCAAAAAUUGUACAUAUUAUCAUAAGAAUAACUUAAUAACCAUAUAAUUUAUUUUUGACCCACACCAAUUUGAAGUAAUAACAGGUCUUUGAUACCCUUGGAUGCACUAGACCAUAUACACACUAUAUUGAUGAAUGCAGCAAACUAAUUAAAUCUUUAGGUUCCUUGUUCCGGAAGUGAAUAAUCUUGUAAACAAAACAUACUUAGGAUUAUACUUAUAAAAUACAUUUAUUCAUAAUAAUUUAAU